CCUGCAGAGAGAGAGGGGGUCAAUACACAAAAGAUUCACCCACUCCUGACAGAAAGGAAAACAGGAGGUGAUCAUUUUCAGAAUAAGAGCGUGGCUGCAGGGACCAGGUUGAGUCUGAGGCCGGUGGGUCAGUACCUCCAGGUUCUGCAGGUAUCCCUCCUGCGGGUCGCACAGCAGCGAGGAGAUCCGGUGGUUCUGCCUCAUGCAGCGGCUGCUGCUCUCCCUCCACAGCGGGAAGAUCUGCCGGAUCACCGUCAUGCGCCCCAGUGCACUGUGGUAAGGAGCCGGAGCUGGAGAGCAGACGUCUGAAAGGUGAAACACGAUGUGAACGAGUCCGGCUCGUCCUGUCACAGAUGUGUGGAGAAACUCUCACUGAACAAAAACCAUCUUCAACAUCUGCGUCAGGAACGUUUCUCUUCUUUCGGCUAAAACCUUUCAGGUCUGAUAAAAUAUCAUUUCCCACGUAUGAUUUGUGAACUUGUUAACAACAACACGAACGAGUCGGACGUCUGAGCGGCUUCAUCAACCGUCUCCUCGUGAAGCCACGUCUCCAUCCGCUCGUUUCCUGUCACACGUAGAAACGUCUCUCUCCUGUCGCCGACAACCUAAUGUUCUUGUAAAUAUACGACGUUAAU